AUUGAACGCUGGCGGCAGGCUUAAUACAUGCAAGUCGAGCGGUAGCACAGGGGAGCUUGCUCCCUGGGUGACGAGCGGCGGACGGGUGAGUAAUGUCUGGGAAACUGCCUGAUGGAGGGGGAUAACUACUGGAAACGGUAGCUAAUACCGCAUAACGUCGCAAGACCAAAGAGGGGGACCUUCGGGCCUCUUGCCAUCAGAUGUGCCCAGAUGGGAUUAGCUAGUAGGUGGGGUAAUGGCUCACCUAGGCGACGAUCCCUAGCUGGCCUGAGAGGAUGACCAGCCACACUGGAACUGAGACACGGUCCAGACUCCUACGGGAGGCAGCAGUGGGGAAUAUUGCACAAUGGGCGCAAGCCUGAUGCAGCCAUGCCGCGUGUGUGAAGAAGGCCUUCGGGUUGUAAAGCACUUUCAGCGAGGAGGAAGGUGGUGAGCUUAAUACGUUCAUCAAUUGACGUUACUCGCAGAAGAAGCACCGGCUAACUCCGUG
rnacentral:rRNA from 1 species